AUGGAUCAUAAGCCAUAUUAUCAAUCAUUAACGUGUUGAAGUCUUAGUAGAAGUGGAAAAAAACUCAGCUCUCAAUAUCAAUGAUACAUUCUAGAAUAAUGAUGUAGAAUGGGUGGGGCAGAAAUAGGGAUUGUUUUCUGCAUCAUUACAUUUUGUAUCUUUGGGCACACACGAAUUCACGGAAUUGUACAACAGGCUGAACAUCAGACUGAGGAAGGGAAUCUUCUCUAAGAACUUGUGUUCGUAGGGCUGCACAUCAGCAAAUCCAGUCAUGAAAUGGAAACCUCUCAUGUUUCAGGCCACCAACCAGCUGAAAACAAAAUGUGAUGUGAACUUCUGAAGCCCCAAUAAUGGUGAUUUUAGAGAAGACCUGUCAGCCACCUUCCAUUACUGAGGUUGUUGAGAAGGUCAAAUGCAAGAAGGAAGAAGGCUCCCUCACCUGGACAAGCUACUAAAUUUGCAAAGUCCAGUACAAAAUGAAAGUGUAGGGUCCGGUGUACAAAAGUCAUUAGGAAUGUCAAGACUGGAACGUUAAAUCAAGCGCGGGACUCUUCUCAGUACAGAGCCUGUGCAACCGCACAGCCAGCACGCCCUCGAAGCCGGCCCUGGAGCCCGAAGGAGCGGAGCGUUUGCACACAGUAGGUGCUAAAUAAGUGCUCUUCACCUUUGUGUCAGCACAGUCCUAGAGCUCUCGUGCGCUAGCACGGUAACGUUGACCAUAACACUGACCACUCGCUGUCACUUGUGCGUGCCUGGCAGAAGGACAAGACCUGGA